rnacentral:rRNA from 1 species
AUUGAACGCUGGCGGCAUGCUUUACACAUGCAAGUCGAACGGUAACAGGUUAAGCUGACGAGUGGCGAACGGGUGAGUAAUGCAUCGGAACGUGCCCGAUCGUGGGGGAUAACGCAGCGAAAGCUGCGCUAAUACCGCAUACGAUCUGAGGAUGAAAGCGGGGGACCGUAAGGCCUCGCGCGAUCGGAGCGGCCGAUGUCAGAUUAGGUAGUUGGUGGGGUAAAGGCUCACCAAGCCAACGAUCUGUAGCUGGUCUGAGAGGACGACCAGCCACACUGGGACUGAGACACGGCCCAGACUCCUACGGGAGGCAGCAGUGGGGAAUUUUGGACAAUGGGCGAAAGCCUGAUCCAGCAAUGCCGCGUGCAGGAAGAAGGCCUUCGGGUUGUAAACUGCUUUUGUACGGAGCGAAAAGGCUCUCUCUAAUACAGGGGGCUCAUGACGGUACCGUAUGAAUAAGCACCGGCUAACUACGUGCCAGCAGCCGCCGUAACAC